AUUGAACGCUGGCGGCAGGCCUAACACAUGCAAGUCGAGCGGGGUUUUCGGACCUAGCGGCGGACGGGUGAGUAAUGCGUAGGAAGCUGCCCGAUAGAGGGGGAUACCAGUUGGAAACGACUGUUAAUACCGCAUAAUGUCUACGGACCAAAGUGUGGGACCUUCGGGCCACAUGCUAUCGGAUGCGCCUACGUGGGAUUAGCUAGUUGGUGAGGUGAUGGCUCACCAAGGCGACGAUCUCUAGCUGGUUUGAGAGGAUGAUCAGCCACACUGGAACUGAGACACGGUCCAGACUACUACGGGAGGCAGCAGUGGGGAAUAUUGGACAAUGGGCGCAAGCCUGAUCCAGCCAUGCCGCGUGUGUGAAGAAGGCCUUCGGGUUGUAAAGCACUUUCAGCGAGGAGGAAGGGUGGUGUGUUAAUAGCACAUCAUUUUGACGUUACUCGCAGAAGAAGCACCGGCUAACUCUGUGCCAGCAGCCGCCGUAACAC
rnacentral:rRNA from 1 species